rnacentral:rRNA from 1 species
UAGUCCACGCCGUAAACGAUGAUUACUCGCUGUAGGCGAUACACAGUCUGUGGCUUAGCGAAAGUUUUAAGUAAUCCACCUGGGGAGUACGAUCGCAAGAUUGAAACUCAAAGGAAUUGACGGGGGCCCGCACAAGCGGAGGAACAUGUGGUUUAAUUCGAUGAUACGCGAGGAACCUUACCUGGACUUAAAUGUACGUUGCAUAGAUUGGAGACAGUCUUUUCUUCGGACUACGUACAAGGUGCUGCAUGGUUGUCGUCAGCUCGUGCCGUGAGGUGUCGGGUUAAGUCCCAUAACGAGCGCAACCCCUAUCGUAUGUUACCAGCAUUUAGUUGGGGACUCAUGCGAGACUGCCGGUGUUAAGCCGGAGGAAGGUGGGGACGACGUCAAGUCAUCAUGGCCCUUACGUGUAGGGCUAGAAACGUGCUACAAUGGGAGUUACAGUGGCCAGUAACGUCGCGAGGCGAAGCAAAUCCCUAAAAGCUCUCUCAGUUCGGAUAGGACUCUGCAACUCG